UUUAGCCUUUCAAUAGAUUGGGAGCUGUUCCCUUGCAUUGAUGAAGAGCAUUAAGUAAGGGCUUCGCUAACCUCCAUCACACAUUUAUCAAGGAAGUCGUGGAAACAACUCUUUGGCAAAAGCAGCUCAUCGUCACAAAAUGCAGUUUGGAGAGACGACAUCUUCCCAGUUCCUAAGCCCUAAUAGCCCCUCUUUCCAAGCAGUACAACAAACAGUACAGGGUAUCCAGAACAGAUUAUGAACAGAAAACCAGCAGGGUGUUUGUUAGCACACAACAAGAAUUUGGAAAAAGACAAUACUACUACUCACCUUGACACGACAACUUCACUUCUG